rnacentral:rRNA from 1 species
AGAGUUUGAUCCUGGCUCAGGACGAACGCUGGCGGCGUGCUUAACACAUGCAAGUCGAGCGGGGAUUACAGGAGAGCUUGCUCAAAUGUAAUUCUAGCGGCGGACGGGUGAGUAACGCGUGAGCAAUCUGUCCCAGGCAGGGGGAUAACACUUGGAAACAGGUGCUAAUACCGCAUAAGACCACGAAAUCGCAUGGUUUUGAGGUAAAAGAGAUAUCGGUUUGGGGUGAGCUCGCGUCCCAUUAGCUAGUUGGUGAGGUAACGGCCCACCAAGGCGACGAUGGGUAGCCGACCUGAGAGGGUGAUCGGCCACAUUGGAACUGAGACACGGUCCAGACUCCUACGGGAGGCAGCAGUGGGGAAUAUUGGGCAAUGGGCGCAAGCCUGACCCAGCAACGCCGCGUGAAGGAAGAAGGUUUUCGGAUUGUAAACUUCUGUCCUUGGUGACGAAGGAAGUGACGGUAGCCAAGGAGGAAGCCCCGGCUAACUACGUGCCAGCAGCCGCGGUAAUACGUAGGGGGCAAGCGUUAUCCGGAAUUAUUGGGCGUAAAGAGUGCGUAGGUGGUUACCUAAGCAGGGGGUGAAAGGCAAUGGCUCAACCAUUGUUAGCCCCCUGAACUGGGCUACUUGAGUGCAGGAGAGGAAAGCGGAAUUCCUAGUGUAGCGGUGAAAUGCGUAGAUAUUAGGAGGAACACCAGUGGCGAAGGCGGCUUUCUGGACUGUAACUGACACUGAGGCACGAAAGUGUGGGGAGCAAACAGGAUUAGAUACCCUGGUAGUCCACACCGUAAACGAUGAGCACUAGGUGUCGGGGUCGCAAGGCUUCGGUGCCGCAGUUAACGCAUUAAGUGCUCCGCCUGGGGAGUACGUACGCAAGUAUGAAACUCAAAGGAAUUGACGGGGACCCGCACAAGCAGCGGAGCAUGUGGUUUAAUUCGAAGCAACGCGAAGAACCUUACCAGGACUUGACAUCCCGAUGACCGGUUCUUAACCGAACCUUCUCUUCGGAGCAUCGGUGACAGGUGGUGCAUGGUUGUCGUCAGCUCGUGUCGUGAGAUGUUGGGUUAAGUCCCGCAACGAGCGCAACCCUUGCCAUUAGUUGCCAUCAUUAAGUUGGGCACUCUAGUGGGACUGCCGGGGAUAACUCGGAGGAAGGUGGGGAUGACGUCAAAUCAUCAUGCCCCUUAUGUUCUGGGCUACACACGUGCUACAAUGGUCGGUACAAAGAGCAGCAAUACCGUGAGGUGGAGCAAAUCUCAAAAGCCGAUCCCAGUUCGGAUUGUAGGCUGCAACUCGCCUACAUGAAGUUGGAGUUGCUAGUAAUCGCGGAUCAGAAUGCCGCGGUGAAUGCGUUCCCGGGUCUUGCACACACCGCCCGUCA